rnacentral:rRNA from 1 species
UACAGAGGUCUCAAGCGUUGUUCGGAUUCAUUGGGCGUAAAGGGUGCGUAGGUGGCGCGGUAAGUCGGGUGUGAAAUCUCGGAGCUUAACUUCGAAACUGCAUUCGAUACUGCCGUGCUUGAGGACUGGAGAGGAGACUGGAAUUUACGGUGUAGCGGUGAAAUGCGUAGAUAUCGUAAGGAAGACCAGUGGCGAAGGCGGGUCUCUGGACAGUUCCUGACGCUGAGGCACGAAGGUCAGGGGAGCAAACGGG